GCCGAAGUGGUGGAAUCUGGUAGACACGCUAUCUUGAGGGGGUAGUGGGUAACCGCCCGUGCGGGUUCAAGUCCCGCCUUCGGCACCA
rnacentral:tRNA from 1 species